rnacentral:lncRNA from 1 species
GCUUUUGUUGUUUUUGUUGUUGCCAUGAUAAAAGAAGAGCAGCAUUACAUGAAGGAAGUGCAGUUAAACCAGACUUGAGAAAUUCCAUGCUUUAAGAACAUGACAUCAAGAAACUUUUCCAAUUAUGCUUUGAAAUGGAUAGUGCUGCAGCAAGUUAAAAUGUUUGUAAAUAACUCUGUAGUUCUUUGGAAGAAUUUGAGGCCAUUCUUGAAAUUUCUGGGGUCAAAAAUAUUCACUCUACUCCAUCAAGGGCAUAUCAACACCACUGGCGUGCAAAUUGCCACCAACUCAGCCAUAUGUAUAAGCUUGUGUUGGCACAGUGCAGUUUACAGGAAUCACUCUGCAACUGCUGAGGCACAACUUGGUAGAAGUAAUGCUGCAUAUGGAAAACAAGGCUGUAAUUUCUGCUUAUACAGCAGUGGGUCUGAAAAACAAAUUUCCAACCCUCCUAAAGUGAAGUGGGUGUCAAACAAUGGGACUGUCAACAAUACUUUGACUGUAGUUGCUUACUUGAGGAAGCCCAUGGCUCAGAGAUGGCACAGUAAUGCAAGGCUGGCGCUCAGGAUGCAAAGGAAGAUUCAACAGGGAAAAGCAGAAAAAAAUAAAAAAUAA